AGAACGAACGCUGGCGGCAUGCCUAACACAUGCAAGUCGAACGAGACCUUCGGGUCUAGUGGCGCACGGGUGCGUAACGCGUGGGAAUCUGCCCUUGGGUUCGGAAUAACAGCGAGAAAUUGCUGCUAAUACCGGAUGAUGACGUAAGUCCAAAGAUUUAUCGCCCAAGGAUGAGCCCGCGUAGGAUUAGCUUGUUGGUGAGGUAAGAGCUCACCAAGGCGACGAUCCUUAGCUGGUCUGAGAGGAUGAUCAGCCACACUGGGACUGACGACACGGCCCAGACUCCGUACGGGAGCAGCGAGGUGGGG
rnacentral:rRNA from 1 species